UUUUCCAAAUGAAUCUUGGGAAGGCUUUUACAUGAAAGACAGCAAAGUCUUGGCAAUGAGGAAAAACUCAAAGCUAGAGUAAUUAAGAACUCAGCUCUGUGACAAGAGAUCUGUGAAUCAUCAUUAUUCUCUGUUCCAACACUUCAUUUUUUUCUGGAGAUAACAGAGCUUCAAUAGAAGAAGACUGAGGAAAGACACAGGUGGAUAUGGAGGUUCAAAGGAUAUUAUUACUGGUUUAAACUCUGUUCUGUUGGGGUCAUUAAAACACUGAUAUAUUUUGCUCUUUCCUGUCAUCUGGACCCGCUUUUCUUAUGUGAACCAUGAAUAUAACCUUCCUGGGGAGUCUACUAUCGCCAACAUUGUCAAGGAGAUCUUAUAGAUGUCACUUCUGGUACUAAUUGUAAUAAUGGGUGUCACUUAUGGGAUCAUUAUUUUACAGUUUCAUGUGAUCAUAGAGUAGUUCUAUGGACAUUGAAAAACCUGCAUCAGACCGGCACCUGCCAUAAGAUUUAGAGUUCACUUGACACUUUCAGGUAUACUUUUUCAAUCCCAGGAAAAUACUCAAUGCAUCUUUCAUUAUUAGGACAUUAGAUUUUAUUUAAAUAGUAUAGAAAAAAAUCCACCAAAUCAACUUUAAACAGUGACGUAUUUGAUACCAUAUUUUAUUUACACAGCAUUCUGAGAACAGCAGAUCUGAAAGGCAAACCAAGGUUAAUGUUCUGGCAAUCAGCUAAAGUUAAUUGAUGGAGACAUUUCAGAGUAAAAUAAAAUUAUCUUGACAGCUUUUCAUUAGGAUAACAACCUGACAGUCAAGGACUACCUAAUUUUUCCCUAAUCACGACAAACUAUUAUUAAUAGCAGCACAUGUAUUACAUCUUGAGAGACAGAUCCCUGCAGACUUUAGAGAAUAGAUUGGGGAAAUAUCCUCCUCCCCAUUAGCUAGAUCCUGGGCAUUCCUAAAAUGAUGAAAUAAGAGUAGUUUAUUUCAAAUAAAGUUCAAAUGGUAUUUAACUUCUUAAAUUUAGAACAUACGGCAAAAAUCUAAAAAUAUGAGGAGUGUUAAAAAGUAAUGUUCCAGAAACUUUCACCAAAUAAUUGUAGCCCACAUGAGUAAUUUUUCUUUUCUGUUUUUGAGAGAAUGACUCACUGAUCAGAAAAUUUUGCUUUACUCACAGAGUAUACAUUAUAUACUUGAUGUGAAUAAAUCUUUUAUGACUUUGGAAUGGGUCAUAAAGUCAUAAGAUGUAGAAGAAUAAGGAAACUCUUUUUAUUUGGACACAUUUUAUGGGAUAAACUUGAGAAUAGUUCCCCAACUUUCUGUUGAGAAUUUGACAUUCCCCUAAGCCUUGAGGUCAUGCCCUUAUAUAUUGGUGAGUGCUAGAAGAAAGAGGAGAGCAUGGAACCUGAAGAAGUUUCAUUACUUUGGUCCAUCAUUACAUCUUUCUGAGAAUUCAAGAAAACUCCAGAAAAGUAGUAUGCAGAGAGGAGCCUGGUGAGAGGCCAUUCAGGUAAAGUGAAACUGAACACAAAAUUGGAAAUUUUUUACUAAAGGCAAACAGGCCUGCCCCUAACAUUUAUGUGGCCUGGGAAUUUGUAAGUAAAAUUUUGUAAGUUAAAAAUCAGUUGACAAACCGUUAAAUAAAACAUCUUCCUAUCUUGAAAUUUUACCAUGAUAAGGUUCAAGGCAAGGCACCCCCAAAUAUGCCACUUGGUAAUACUGAUGAUUUUGAAUUAAAGUUACUUAAGAAAGAGCCAGUGCAAUAAGGACACUCUGACCCUCCUUGGUCCUCCUGAAAGCAGGAAAUAAAUUUCCCAUGUUGAAGGGUACUCUACCUGAACCUGGAGGACAAAAGGCAUACUCAUCACCAGAGUGAAGGAAUUCAGGGCCAAGAAGACUGAAUAAACAAACUUUCCUUGUUUUGUCAAUUCUUCAUAAAUUAUUUCUUUGUCUAAAAGGCUUAAUAAAAGCUGCCUGCUUUGGUCCCUUCCUUGAAUGUCAUAUUUUUAUGAGCUCCCAAAUGUAUGAAAUUAAAUUUAUUUUUCUCCUGUUAA